UAUGUCCAAUUAUUGUGUCUAAUGUGUUUUAUCCUAGGGGGAGAGCAAGGCUAGAAGGACUCUAAACCUGGAUUGAAUGCAGUUUGAUCCUGUCCAUGUUGACAGAUGAAAGGGCUUGAAUCCAUACACCCGGCAGAUCUGUCAAGGCUUGUGCGAGAAGGGCUACGAGCGACAUGCUGCAGUUCAAAGUGAAGAUAAAGGAGCUGAGGCUGGCAAGGGAGGCAAAUCGUUGCUUCGGUGCUGCACCUAAGACCUGCCAGUUCUAUAAGGAGCUGGAUGCUAUCCUCGGUGGCAACCCCACCUCCACCACCAAGAGUCCCGUGGAUACUUUGGAGGGAACGGAGGCGGCGGAAAGAGAAUCUAACCCAGAGGACGAAGUCAUUGAUGAAGAGGUGGAGUUAGAUGAUGGUGUGAGGCUCCCGGGGGCUAGGCAACCAGGAACUGUUCAGCACUCCGGAGUUGUCUAGCCAGUCUCAGCAGUUGCUCUCCGGUGGGCAAGAAGCAGGAGAGAAGAUGCCUGAUGUGGCCUUCAGGAACACUCCGCACAUACCGGCCAAGCAUCUCCGCCAGAUAAGAAAGUGCCCAAGACGGAGCAAAGAAGACAUUCCGGGAGGUACUGCACUUCUCCAAUGCAGAGAAAAGGGAACGCAAGGAGUGGAGGGAAGUGGAAAGGGAGGACAGAAAAGAAAAUCAGGAGUUUGUAAAGGACGCUACUGAGCAUAUGAUUAAAGUCAUGGAAGAGCAAACACAGAUGCUGAAGUCCUUAAUAAUCCUGCUUACUGAGCAGAUGCAUGCCCGCCUUCCCCUGCAGCACUUUCAGAACUCUUUCACUCCCCCCAAACUCUGCCCACAUAGUCCUUUCUGGGAGUUCUCGGUUUCCCCUCGGACAACUUUCAAAAUGAUAGCUGGACAUACACACAGCUUUGAAAGUCUGCCCUUCCCUGGUACCUCCUUUCCCACCAAGUGCGUGUGGUUUCUUGUUUAAUAAAAGCAAA